UUACCAGUUGGAAACGAAAGAGAUUCCUUUGGGCCCAGGUGCUGCAUGGCUGUCGUCAGCUCGUGUCGUGAGAUGUUGGGUUAAGUCCCGCAACGAGCGCAACCCUGUCUUAGUUGCCAUCGUACUGGACUCUAGGAGACUGCCGGUGUUAACCGGAGGAAGGUGGGGACGACGUCAAGUCCUCAUGGCCCUUAUGCUGGGCUACACACGUGCUACAAUGGGGUACAAGGGGCACGGCGACGGAAGCAAUCCCAAAACCGUCUCAGUUCGGAUUGGAGUCUGCAACUCGACUCCAUGAAGUCGGAAUCGCUAGUAAUCGUAAUCAGCACGUACGGUGAAUACGUUCCCGGGCCUUGUACACACCGCCCGUCACACCAUGGAAGUUAGUGUCCGAA
rnacentral:rRNA from 1 species